rnacentral:rRNA from 1 species
AUUGAACGCUGGCGGCAUGCCUUACACAUGCAGGUCGAACGGCAGCACGGGAGCAAUCCUGGUGGCGAGUGGCGAACGGGUGAGUAAUAUAUCGGAACGUGCCCAGUCGUGGGGAUAACGUAGCGAAAGCUACGCUAAUACCGCAUACGAUCUAUGGAUGAAAGCGGGGGAUCGCAAGACCUCGCGCGAUUGGAGCGGCCGAUAUCAGAUUAGGUAGUUGGUGAGGUAAAGGCUCACCAAGCCGACGAUCUGUAGCUGGUCUGAGAGGACGACCAGCCACACUGGGACUGAGACACGGCCCAGACUCCUACGGGAGGCAGCAGUGGGGAAUUUUUGGACAAUGGGCGCAAGCCUGAUCCAGCAAUGCCGCGUGCAGGAUGAAGGCC